rnacentral:tRNA from 1 species
CAGAGGGGAGUUUAUUCAGUAAGAAUAUUAGCUUUGGGAGCUGAAGGUGGGAGUUCGAAUCUCCCCCCUCUGA